UACGUAGGGUGCAAGCGUUAUCCGGAAUCACUGGGCGUAAAGGGUGAGUAGGCGGUUUGUUAAGUCAUAUGUGAAAUCCCCGAGCUUAACUUGGGGGGUGCAUAAGAAACUGGCGAACUAGAGUACAGGAGAGGUAAGCGGAAUUCCUAGUGUAGCGGUGAAAUGCGUAGAUAUUAGGAAGAACACCAGUGGCGAAGGCGGCUUACUGGACUGAAACUGACGCUGAGUCACGAAAGCGUGGGGAGCGAACAGG
rnacentral:rRNA from 1 species